rnacentral:rRNA from 1 species
UACAGAGGUCUCAAGCGUUGUUCGGAUUUAUUGGGCGUAAAGAGCUCGUAGGCGGCUUGUCGCGUCGUCCGUGAAAACCUGCAGCUCAACUGCAGGCUUGCGGGCGAUACGGGCAGGCUAGAGUUCGGUAGGGGAGACUGGAAUUCAUGGUGUAGCAGUGAAAUGCGUAGAGAUCAUGAGGAAGACCAGUGGCGAAGGCGGGUCUCUGGACAGUUCCUGACACUGAGACACGAAGGCCAGGGGAGCAAACGGG